AGCACGAGGAGUUUGAUCCUGGCUCAGAACGAACGCUGGGAAGGGGCCUUACACAUGCAAGUCGAAGGCCAGGGGCAUCCCCGUCCCUGGACUGGCGUCCGGGUGCGUAGCGCGUGGGCACCGAUCCGUCGGAAGGGAAGCGAUCUUUCCGGUCGAAGGACCGAGGCCAAGACCGCCGACGGAGGGGCCUGCGUAGGAUUAGGUCGUUGGGUACGGGAAGGGCGUCCCAAGCCGAAGAUCCUUCGCCGGUUUGCGAGAACGAUCGGCCACACUGGGACUGCAAAGGGCCCAGACUCCAGUGGGAGGCAGCAGUGGGGAAUCUUGGACACUGGGCGCAAGCCCGAUCCAGCCACCUUCCGUGGAAGAGGACGGCCUUUCGGGUCGAAACUUCCUUCCCCCCAGGCGGAAGAGGACGCACCUGGGGGCGGCAGUCCCGGCUCACUCCGUGCCAGCAGCCGCGGUAAGACGGAGGGGGCGAGCGUUGUUCGGAAGGACUGGGCGUACAGGGCGCGUAGGCGGGCGCGUACGGGGGGCGCGGGGCGCGGGCAUUCCCCGCCGCGCCGCGUCCCCGAGGGCGCUUCUGGGAGGCGUCGGGAGGGGUCUGGAAUGCCCCGUGGAGCGGUGAAAUGCGCAGAGAUGGGGUGGAACACCGAAGGCGAAGGCAGGACCCCCGCGACGGCCUGACGCUGAGGCGCGAAAGCGUGGGGAGCGACGAGGAUUAGAGACCCUCCUAGUCCACGCCCUAAACGAGGAGUGCUGGGGUUUCGGGCCCGCAGGGUCCUGGGAUCCCCGGUUCACGCGCGAGCACUCCGCCUGGGGAGUACGGUCGCAAGGCUGAAACUCAAAGGAAUUGACGGGGGCCCGCACAAGCGGUGGAGCAUGUGGUUUAAUUCGACGCAACGCGCAUCACCUUACCCGCCCUCGCUCGGCCUUGGGGCGCGCGGAGUCCGCGCGCCCCGCCACCAGGUGCUGCACGGCUGUCGUCAGCUCGUGUCGUGAGAUGUCGGGUUCAGUCCUGCAACGAGCGCAACCCCCGCGGACCUCGGUCCGUACCGCCGGGGAGACCCCGGAGGAAGGUGGGGAUGACGUCAAGUCCUCGUGGCCCUCAUGGGCGGGGCGACACACGUGCUACAGGGGCGAGGUCAAUGGGAGGCGCCCGCGUCAGCGCGCGCGCUCCUCCAACCCUCGCCGUGGUUCGGAAUGCCCGCUGCAACUCGCGGGCAGGAAGGCGGAAUCGCGAGUAAUCGCGCAGCAGCGCGGCGCGGUGAAUUGGUACCCGGGCCUUGUACACACCGCCCGUCACACCCGGGGACCCCUGGGAGCCCCAAGGGCGGGGUGGGGGCGCGCGUCCCGCGGGGCGCGCCCCGCCCCCCGUCCGCCGGCGCCCAGGAGGACCGGGGUGAAGUCGUAACAAGGUAGCGGUUGGGGAACCAGUCGCUGGACCGACUCCUUU
rnacentral:rRNA from 1 species